CAGAGUAAGAAUUCAGGCGUGUGAAAAGUCACGGAGUGUCCGGCGAACGGGGAGUUGUCGGCGGAACGAACGCGAAAUGCGGCGGUCUGGGUUCUGCAUCCCGCUGU
rnacentral:ncRNA from 1 species